ensembl:lncRNA
GGCAUGUUCGUGAUGUUGGUUAUGGCCCCGCCCCGCGCGCUGGCGAUUGGUGCGUUUGGCUCCACCGCUGCGAUCUGAUUGGUGGAUGGAGCUGUCAGUCAGAGAGCAGCGCGCUGUUUCGGGCUUUCUGCAGCUCCGGUGUUGCGACAGCGUGAGUGUGUGAGUGUGUGAGUUCGUGAGCGUGUGUGUUGGGGUAGAGGAUGAGGCUGAGGAUGAGGACGCGCAGAGGAACGCUGUUAAUGUGUUAGAAAAGAUGAUGAGGAGCCCGACAUCAGCUGCUCAACACUGCACACCGCGGAGACGCUCACCUUCUACAGGUACGAGGAAGAAUCCGUGGUGAGGUGUUAUGCGCUGAGGGUUCGAACAUGCACACGGGAAAAUCGGAAGUGCGCAUCCGCUCGAAGUGCGCCGCGCUCUUGGGAAUGCUCGGUCACCAUCACGGGUUUGCCGACGUCGCCGAUCUCACGGAUCUGUGCUGGAAACAGGACGAGCGCGUGGAGCGCCUACAGGACGCCGACUUCCUCCGUGCGAAAACGGCGGCGGCCCAGGAGAAGGCGCAGCCGAUUAAAUCUCACACGGCGAGCUUCUGCAUGGCUCCAGGACAAGGACAAGGUAGGGGGGGGUGUUGUGUGUGUGUGUGUGUGUGUGUGUGUGUGUGUGUGUGUGUGUGUGUGUGUGUGGGGGGGGGGGCUCGAUAGGAAGGCUGGAGAGAAUGUGGUUGAAAUUAUUCAUGGGUGUUCCGACGGUUCAUGAGAGUGACGGGAUGCUGUGAUUGCGAAUGACGGCAGGUGUUAUGAUGUAUAUCGGUAUAAAAUGACACGUUUACGUCUACCACGACAGGCCACGCCGCUACGUUUAUUCACCACCCGCGUUGCCAGCUUUGAGCCGUGAGCAGAUCCGGUAGCGUGACGUGUUAAAAGUGCCGUGUUGGUGCUUAUUUCUUUUUAUUUCUGUUUUUGCUCCAGCGUUGAUGUGGCUGUGCGGUGUGAGUGUGAUGUUAAACCUCACCGGUGAAGUCAGAGUUUGUGGUUAAAUGCUGGAGGAAAACUAACCGCGUGUUCAGCCGGUUCACGAGGAGAUUGACCGCGAGCGGUCU